rnacentral:rRNA from 1 species
UUAAUAAAAACAUUUCUUUUUUAAAAAAAAGUAUCCCCUGCCCAAUGAUUUUUAAAUGGCUGCAGUAAUUUGACUGCAAUAAUGUAGCAUAAUUGCUUGUAAUUUUAUUGGUUACUUGUUUGAAUGGGUGAAUGAUAAAUUGAAAUUAUAUUAAUUUUUUUAAAAUUUUUAUUUUUAGUUAAAAUACUAAAAUUAUUAAAAAAGAAGAGAAGACCCUAAAAGUUUUUAUUUUAAAAUAGAAAAAUUUUUUUUAGGGUAAAAAUUAAUUAUAGUUAUUUUUAGAUAGGGUUAAAAGAAAAAAUUACUUUAGGGAUAACAGGAAAAUAAAAUUUUAGAGUUCAAAUUAAUAAUUUUGUUUUUUACCUCGAUGUUGAAUUAAAAAAUCUUUAUUUUGUAGCAAAAAUAAAAGAAAGUCUGUUCGACUUUUAAAUUUUUACAUGAUUUGAGUU